UGCCUUUUCCGCCAAAGGAGGCGACUCCGGUGCCGGCUGGGCACGCGUGACAUUAGCUAGUUGGCGGGGCGACGGCCCACCAAGGCGACGAUGUCUAGGGGUUCUGAGAGGAAGGUCCCCCACACUGGUACUGAGACACGGACCAGACUCCUACGGGAGGCAGCAG
rnacentral:rRNA from 1 species